rnacentral:rRNA from 1 species
UACGGGGGGGGCAAGCGUUGUUCGGAAUUACUGGGCGUAAAGGGCUCGUAGGCGGCCCGCUAAGUCGAACGUGAAAUCCCCGGGCUCAACCCGGGAACUGCGUCCGAUACUGGCAGGCUUGAAUCCGGGAGAGGGAUGCGGAAUUCCAGGUGUAGCGGUGAAAUGCGUAGAUAUCUGGAGGAACACCGGUGGCGAAGGCGGCAUCCUGGACCGGUAUUGACGCUGAGGCGCGAAAGCCAGGGGAGCAAACGGG